rnacentral:rRNA from 1 species
UGCAGUCGAGCGGUAGAGAGAAGCUUGCUUCUCUUGAGAGCGGCGGACGGGUGAGUAAUGCCUAGGAAUCUGCCUGGUAGUGGGGGAUAACGUUCGGAAACGGACGCUAAUACCGCAUACGUCCUACGGGAGAAAGCAGGGGACCUUCGGGCCUUGCGCUAUCAGAUGAGCCUAGGUCGGAUUAGCUAGUUGGUGGGGUAAUGGCUCACCAAGGCGACGAUCCGUAACUGGUCUGAGAGGAUGAUCAGUCACACUGGAACUGAGACACGGUCCAGACUCCUACGGGAGGCAGCAGUGGGGAAUAUUGGACAAUGGGCGAAAGCCUGAUCCAGCCAUGCCGCGUGUGUGAAGAAGGUCUUCGGAUUGUAAAGCACUUUAAGUUGGGAGGAAGGGUUGUAGAUUAAUACUCUGCAAUUUUGACGUUACCGACAGAAUAAGCACCGGCUAACUCUGUGCCAGCAGCCGCGGUAAUACAGAGGGUGCAAGCGUUAAUCGGAAUUACUGGGCGUAAAGCGCGCGUAGGUGGUUAGUUAAGUUGGAUGUGAAAUCCCCGGGCUCAACCUGGGAACUGCAUUCAAAACUGACUGACUAGAGUAUGGUAGAGGGUGGUGGAAUUUCCUGUGUAGCGGUGAAAUGCGUAGAUAUAGGAAGGAACACCAGUGGCGAAGGCGACCACCUGGACUGAUACUGACACUGAGGUGCGAAAGCGUGGGGAGCAAACAGGAUUAGAUACCCUGGUAGUCCACGCCGUAAACGAUGUCAACUAGCCGUUGGGAGCCUUGAGCUCUUAGNGGCGCAGCUAAC